UGGAACCAAUGUAGCAGGUCAUCACGGAGAUGGUCAGCACUGCCUCAUCAUUCUCAUGAACUGCCCUGAGACAUUGUGGAUGAAGACAAGAACCUACACUUGUAGCACCAUUCACAGCUUCAGGAUGUUACAAAGUGCCUUCCAGUCCACUUAAUCUUUUGAUGUAUGCUGGCUUUUGGCUGCUGACUCUAUAUACAGUAACUCUCCACCUCGUGUUGGGCUCCUCUUGAUGGUCAUAACAUCCAAGGCAAACCACCUAUAAGGGCAAUUAUCUGUUUUGUUCUGAGGCACCUCCUGGACAUUCACCAGCAGAGAUGCCCUUCAGCUGUGGCUCAAAGGGAACACUUGUUUCUGGACUUGCAGGCAUCGCUUCACAGAUUUAAAAAAACCCUAACCUUACUGUUCAGAGGGGCAGUGAGUGCUGCACUGUCUUUCAGAUGAGAUACAAAACCGAGGUUCUGUCUGUCAAGUCAGGUAGGCGUAAGAAAUUUCGUAGCAUUAUUUAAAAAAAUUAGAAGAGAUUUUUCACUUCUGUUUUAGCCAAUGGUUAUUGUGUAGUCAAUAUAAUAACCUGAUCAACAUCCUGUUGCCGCUUUGUCAGAGUUUACUGUCAAUAAAUUAGCUGUUGUGUU